AGAUAAAAAGGAACAACCAGAGAAAGCUCGUGAGGAGACAUGAAACUGCUCACCCACAAUCUACUGAGCUCGCAUGUGCGGGGGGUGGGGCCUCGUGGCUUCCCCCUGCGCCUCCAGGCCACGGAGGUCCGCAUCUGCCCCGUGGAGUUCAACCCCCAAUUCGUGGCGCAUAUGAUACCCAAGGUGGAGUGGGCGUCGUUCCUGGAGGCGGUCGAUAACUUGCACCUGGUCCAGGUGCCUAAAGGGCCGGUUGAGGGGUAUGAGGAGAAUGAAGAGUUUCUGAGGACCAUGCACCACCUCCUGCUGGAGGUGGAAGUGGUGGAGGGCACCCUGCAGUGCCGGAGUCUGGACGUAUGUUCCCCAUCAGCCGUGGGAUCCCCAACAUGCUGCUGAGUGAAGACGAAUCUGAGAGUUGAUCGUGCCAGGCGCCAGUUUUUCUUGUUAUGACCGUGUGUAUUUUUGUUGUGUAUCCCCAACCCUUGACCCAAUAACACACCAAAUACACAGUGCUCUUGAGCUCCAUAGUAUAUAUUUUUUUCUCAUUAAAGGUUCAAAACCAAAAA